GACUCCGGUUUAUUUCUUGCCCAUAGGAGGCGCUGUGGCAGAGACGAGCCUGGCCGAAACGAAAGCGGGCCUCGCUCUCUAAAGUGGACGCAAACUAAUUAUCAGAAUUACCACCAUAGUAAGAUUUAAAAGAGGAGUGAGAAUUUAUAAACAGAAUUUCCCCAUCAAAAUUGAGCAUAUUGUUUGAAAAUCCUUCUUUCUGAAGGAAGGAAGGAAGGAAGGAAGGAGAAAGAAAGAAAAGAAAGAAAAGAAAAGAAAAGAAAAGAAAGAAAAAGAAAUCAUCUGAUCUAAAUGAGCUAAAUGAGCUAAAUUAACAAAUGCUAGAGCUGAAGAAACUAAUAAUAUUGUGAGAAGAUUAAUUGACUCCAAAACACAUCUACUAUUUUCAAAGUGUCUUGAAUUCCUAGAAAAGAAAGGAUAUGCAUCUUGAAAAUGAAUAAAGUAUUUGACACAUUC